ACAGACACAUCUGUCAUCCGUUCAACUAAAUGCUUCCUGUGGUCCUUCCUUGCCCAAUCAGUUUCAUUAUUGCCUUUAUCAUGUUCAAGCUUUUUUUUUUUUUUUUUUUUUUUUUUUUUGAGACGGAGUUUCGCUCUUGUUACCCAGGCUGGAGUGCAAUGGCAUAAUCUCUGCUCACUGCAGACUGAAACUCCUGGGCUCAAGCAAUCCUCCCACCUCAGUCUCCAGAGUAGCUGGGACUAAAGCUGCGUGCCAUCAUGCCUGGAUAAUUUAUUACUUUUUGUGGAGACAGGCUCUUGCUGUGUUUCCCGAGGUGGUCCUGAAACCCUGGCCUUAAUCAAUCCUCCUGCCUUGGCUUCCCAAAUAUUUGACUUUACAUGUGGUUUUAUUAAAAGAAAUAGGAUGUUUCCAGUAAUGGAAGUGAACCAAAGGAAGUAGUAAAAAAUGUAUUAAAAUGUUAAAUUUUACAUUGAAUUACAUUUAAACAUGUUAACACCAAAAGAAAAUACCAUUAUCACAUCACCAGCUUUUCAUGUAAUUCACGUAUCAUAGUAAAACGGCACCUGUAAUUAAUUUAUACUAAAUGGCACCUGUAUUUGAAAUGCUAUGUUUUAUAUUUAAUUACAUUUAAAAGUAUUGUUAACACUAAAAAUAUCAUUAUCACAUCACCAACCAUUCAUGUUAUUCACUUACCAUAGUAAAAUGGCAUCUGUAAUUUAUACUAAUGUGAAACACUGGUGAUGUGGGUGGACUCUCAAGACAUACUGAAUGAAUGGGCCUGAAGAACAGAUCAAUGUGGUGAUGAGUCAGUCCAGUCAUUCCUUCAUAAAAAAUGGACUAGAUGUUCUGUAUCCAGGAAAUGAAAUCGAUUAGAUCCCUGUUAUGUCAACUUCCAGUCACAGUUCUUAAUCAUGCCUCAUGGGGUAACCAUUUUGUGCCUUUAGCGUAUAAAAGUCCUGCUACUUUGUAGUUCAACACAGUACUCAUUUCCCGAGUCUUAUUUACAGAGAAGACAACUCAUCUCUCUUCACAAUUCAUCUUACUUAAAGAUGGUCUCCUAUUCAUAGAUUCAAGAAAAUAUUUUAAUUCUAUCCCACAAUUUUCCUGUAACUUCUUUUCUCGGGGAAGAGCGAGAAUAGGGGUCUUGUUAUUAAGUGGGAAAAAAAUGAAGGAAGAGCUUAAUUAUUACAAC
rnacentral:lncRNA from 1 species